GUGAACAAAUAACAAUUCAAAUAACUUACAACGCAACUUAAGAUCAGAGUCAAUGAAUUGAAGAUACAGCAAUAUGCCAAUAAGGGCCGAUGUCCACGUAGCGGUUUUGAACUUGCGUGCACGCGGCGUCAACGCAAUUGCGGUACGAAGUACCCAACAUCAAAUAGAAUCAUGCACACGCACUUGCGUUAACGCGGCGUCGACACGCGUCUUAUUUGCGGCGAGAGCUACCGCACAGUCACCGCAAUUCCCCACAGGAACGCAGCGUGCACGCGAGUAUUUUUUUGACAUUUCUCUAUUCUUUUUCUUUCCAACAAGAUUUCUAAUGGGAAAAUCUGCAGAAGGAAUCUGUCAGAGCGAAAUCAAAACAAACAAAAAUACUUCGCAAAUCAGUUCAUUUUGGUUUCGCAAAUUAGUUUGCAAAUAACAAAAGUUUCAAAUCUAACUUCUUUAAAAUAGUGCUAGUGAUAGUUCGGAGCAGCAAGUGUUUCUUCCGUUCCUAUGUUAAUACCAGUCGUGAUCAAAACACCUCUGGAAAGAACUGACAAGCAAACAUCCCAGGGUGGCGAAUAGAGUUAAAGUCAACGGAAAUAUGUGCGCGAUAGUGUAGUGACGUUGAUUGUAUUGUAUUGUACUAACUUUAUCAAAAUAAAUUAAUUUCCGAACAAAUGGCGAUGAGACAAAUUUGGACUGAAUGAUGGAGCAGGCAAAAUUCAACCAAAAAAGCGCAUUUCGCGGAACUCUGUAUACACCAAAGAAGGCGAUAGCAGUUCCGCCAUGGGAAAAGUUAUAAAAUGAAUGUCAACGGAAGCAUGUCGUCAAACCAUGUGGAUUGCAAUUUUAAAAAGAAACGAGACCAGAUGAUGAGAUGGUGGCGAGCCACAGUAAGACCCCUUGAUCAGUGCGACUCUUCUAGUGUUGUGGGCAACGGUACUGCGAUCGGUCCGUGUUGCAGUGGAGUGAAAAUUUAUUUAGAGUACCAAAUAUGUAAGAGCGGCUGCAGUAUCAGACCAAAAUGUUUAAUGACUUUUUUAUUAGGGAAUAAAAUGAUUCGUAAAUAAAUAAAUAAAUAAAUAAAUGAAACUUAUGAAAAA